rnacentral:rRNA from 1 species
GUGAGGAAUAUUGGUCAAUGGGCGGAAGCCUGAACCAGCCAUCCCGCGUGCAGGAAGACGGCCCUAUGGGUUGUAAACUGCUUUUCCAGGGGGAGAAACUUUCCGAUGAAUCGGGAUUUGACGGUACCCUGGGAAUAAGCAUCGGCUAACUCCGUGCCAGCAGCCGCGGUAAUACGGAGGAUGCGAGCGUUAUCCGGAUUUAUUGGGUUUAAAGGGUGCGUAGGCGGAUCGAUAAGUCAGUGGUGAAAACCUGCAGCUUAACUGUAGACUUGCCGUUGAUACUGUUGGUUUUGAGUAUGGUCAAGGUAGGCGGAAUGUGUAAUGUAGCGGUGAAAUGCUUAGAUAUUACACAGAACACCGAUUGCGAAGGCAGCUUACUGGACCAUCACUGACGGUGAUGCACGAAAGCGUGGGGAUCGAACAG